ACAGGGCUUGCAAGACAGAGACAAGGCAGGCAUGGGAAAACAGGGGAGAGCUAAACAAACAAACACACACAUACACACACACACACACACAUGAGCACAUACAAACAUAUUAAAGGAGCAAGUUCAGAGCCAAGUGACAUCUUCAAGAUGGAAAUAAACUUCCCUAAACAAAUGAUCAAGAUGAUUGGUCAUUUAUAAAAUCUUUGCAGCUUUUAUAAAGAGAAAAGUGUCCAGGUCAUAAACCAAAUUUAUGAGGGAGAAACAAAACAUGGGUCUCCUAGAGAAAAGAAACCACAAAAGCCACAGCGGGAUUGCUGGUGGGGUCAGCUGUUCAGAGAAAAAUGGCUCCAUCGUGGAGCUGACAGACAGUUGACAGACCCUAGAGCCAAGGAGCCAGAUGCCCUGUGGAUAAUAAACAUACUUUCAGAACCUACAAACUUAAUAGAAGUGGUGAUCCAGGAAGGGAGUGCCAAGAUCAUUGAAACUUGGCACAGAACAUGGACUGUAUGGAUGCAGUGUUGUGGAUCAGGCUUCUUCAUCACCCAUGGCUGCAUGAUGUAUGUGUGCAGCCUCAGGAGUGACCACUGAGCCUGAAACUCUCUAGAGCUGUGGGACUCUCUGGGGCUGUGAGACUCUCUGGAGCUGAGUUACAGGAAGUUGUGAACUGACUGACACAGGUCCUGGGAACUAAAACUCAGGGACUCUGAAAGAACAGCAACCACUGAGUCAUCUCUCUCGUUACAUUCCUAGCGAUACAAAAAUUACUCUCUAAAUUACCCAGUGCAUGAGUAAGAAUGCUCAGUAGAAGAAAGGAACAAUUCUUUUUUUAAUAUUCAACAACAAAAAAAGAUUGCCUACAAUUUGCCCCGGAUAGAAGGGACUGUCUGCAAUUUGUUCAAGUGAGGCUCUGCCCCAGACCCUAUUCUCUAUCAACACUUCCUGAUAACAGGAAUUGUAGUUGCCCGUCAUUAAACCAUAUUUGAUUUCCACUCCAAUCUUUGUGUCAAGCGCCAAGGUGAAGAGAAUUUUGAUGUCAUAGAAAAGUUAUAGACAAGUUUCUCUGAGCUUCCAAGACUAAGGGCACUGUCCCUCCUGUUGUGUUCUACAGGACUCACCCAGACCUCAGUUCCUCUGCACAUCUCUUCCCAUCUCCCCAUGAUGGCUGCUUCGCUUUUCAAAUCCUAUGAUCCUGCAAAACUUGCCACACUGCUCAGCUUCCUGUAGCCCUUUUCGGAUUUCAGAUACCUUUUCUCUGACAUCUUCUUCCUCGCAGUUCUUGCCAUUAUUCUUUUUCCUCUUACAUGUGGGCCAAGGAGUCAAUGUCUGGUUUGGAAUCACUCACCCACCUUCAAUGAUCCCUUCUCUACCCCGUCUUAGCCAGCCAUUCAUUAUCACCCUGUUGUCAAUGCCCGCCUCCCCGUACACCACAGACCACCCCAGUUACUCUUGUUAACAGGCACAACACAAGAUGACAGGACCAGAAGAAAGGAAGUAUGAAAGAUAGGAAGAGAAGUCUAAGGUGACUUCAAGACACAAAUCAAAAAUGGUGUGAAGAAACCUCCCAAGUGGAAGAUGAUGGAGAAAAGCCCAACUCCCCUCCCUGCCAUGACAUCCAGGUCAGCAGCCUUGGUGAAAGGUGAUAAACUGUAGGGAGGAGUGGUUAAGAGCAUACACUGCACCAAAGAGGAUCGCUGUUGAUUCCAGCGCCUACAGCUCAAGCUCCUAUAACUCAAACACCCUCCUCUGGCCCCCAGGAGCACCUGCACUCAUGCACACAGGCAGACAGACUGACAGAUGGAUGGAUGGAUGGACGGACGGACGGACGGACAGACAGACAGACAGACAGACACACACACACACACACACACACACUUUAUAAAGAGCUGCCACAGAAGGAGGGAAGAAAAUACUGAGUGAGCUGAGAGCUCUGUGGAGCAUCCCUUGUAUCCCUUUGCAUCUAGUGAGCCUGGCCACCACACCAGAUGCUAAUGGUGAGGAUACAGAACAUGUCACCAUUGCUGACUGUGCCUAUGUGAAUUGUCAUGACCCGUUUCUGAAAUGUGCUAUAGACAGGCUCUGUCAUUUCUACUAUAUGUCUGGAUUUUUUACAUUUUUGUGAUGAAAAGGAACUGUUCUUAUAUAAUUUGUGGCAUGCAGUGUAUUUUGGGUUGAUUUUUAACUUUGGGGGGAUACUUGGCAUCACACACAGGUCCUCAUGUAUGUUAUACAUACACUCUAAAUUACUGCCUGCUGGGUCUGAGACUUUCCCUGCCUUGUAACUCUUUAACUGGUAGAGAAAAUGAGCCUCAUUAAGCCCCCUAGAAGGUAACAUUUGCAGUUAGGAGAAGUGUGAUGGCUUGUAUGUUUGGUCCAGGGAGUAGCACUAUUAAGAGGUGUGGCCUUGUUGGAGUAGGUGUGUCACUGUGGACAUGGGCUUUAAUACCCUCAACCUAGCUGCCUGGAAGCCAGUCUUCUCCUAGCUGCCUUCAGAUGAAGAUGUAGAACUCUCAGCUCCUCCUGCACCAUGACAGCCUGGAUGCUGCCAUGCUCCUGCCUUGAUGAUAACGGACUGAGUCUCUGAACCUGUAAGCCAGCCCCAAUUAAAUGUUGUCCUUAUAAGAGUUGCCUUGGUCAUGAUGUCUGUUCACAGCAGUAAAACCCUAAGACAAGAGGUAAAAAACCUGGGAGGAAGGGGACAGAUUUCCUAUAUUAAAUGACCUCUGAUGACCUUUUCUUUUGUUGUACAACCUCAUUAGAAGGUUAAGUUCUCUCAGAAUGUAUCUUGUGCUUAUUCCUGAGUGUAGCCAGAAAUCUUCUAUAGACUGUCUGUAAUGCAACUGAAGUAUGCCCGGUAUAUUCUAUAAAUAUAUGAAUGACGCAACACUUCU
rnacentral:lncRNA from 1 species